GGAACUUUUGCUUUAACUUUGGUAUUUAAACUUUUAUUUUAAAUUUACUACUGGUUUCUGCAGACGCGGUUUGCAUGUGCAUUUGUGUGAACAGAGGAGAAAGAUGAUUCUGGAGAACUCUACUCUCCACUUGAAAUGGAUCACACAUGUCCUACCAAUUAUUGGAUUGAUCUAUUGAACGAGUCAGUCCUUUUAUUUGGUUGUCAUCAGGACCAUCUGAUAAAGAGGACAACAGAUAUUAAAGCAAAUCAAAGGCUGAUGCAGAAGCUUCACAAGAACAACAGCAACAAGAGUAAGAGGAUUGUUACAUGCUUGAGAUACCUUUUCAAUCACAUCCUUCAUAUAUUUUCUUUUUCAGCAAUUUUUAGAACUAAUUUGCAAUUAUGGUUUUACUGUUCAUGUUUAACCUUUCAGAUUAAUUUUUCUCAGAAGUGUCACUGUAGUGUAGGUGGUUUGGUCCAUUGCAGAGAUGUUACCUGCUACACGUAAAUAAUUCUAAAUUGGAGACUGACUCUCAUUUAGACUCUGAUUUCAAAGAUCCAGAGCUGUACACGAGUCUCAGUCCCUGGCCUCUUUGCAGAAUCCAAUCAGCAACUACUGUAGUGUUGGCAUGCACAUUAUCUGUUUGUUCUUGGUUGAAACAUCUCUGUAUGUACUUUUCCCGACAGCUGUUUUUCCAGCAGGUACUGGAUAGCACUGAAGGAGCAGGUUGAGCCCAGGUUUCCCCUGCACAGAGCUGCCCUACCUCCGCUCUUCCAAAAGCAGCUACUGAACAAAUUCAGAAAGCUGGCAGACAGAAAAGUGAACAUAGCACAAUGUUCAUAGCAUCUAAAUUAUGCAUAAUAUAGGGCUAUAAUUAGAUACAGUGGACCAUCUAUAACUGGAGAAAGUCUCUGAUUAUUAUAGGAUGAAUGGAUGAAAUGAUCUUUUAGCAGGACAUAUUGUUCAUAUUACGAAAUAAGAGAAUAUUCUGUCAAAGGAUGCAGGUAAGUGCAUAUGAAGUCAGACCAAGAUUCCAUUGAACCCAGCAUCUCAGCCUUGAUAGCAGCAUAUAGCAGAUGUUUACAGACUCACACAGUGGGGAAUAUGGACCAUUUGGACAUGGUCUAGGUGACCCUGCAUAGGGAGGGGGAGGCAGGGGCAGAAAUGGCCUCCACAGGUCCUUUCCAACCUCAACUAUUCUUUGAUUCCAUGACCAUUGAGAUUCCUCUUUUCAUUUCUCCAGCCUCUGAGGCCAAUCCAAAUGGCAGCACAACCAUCUUGAGUAUCAGGCAUUCCUCUUAGGUUAUUAUAAUCUGCAAAGCUUCUGAGGGUGCACCCCUACCAUGUCAGUAAUGAAGAUGUUUUACUGUAUUGGCCCCAGAAUCAAUCCAUGGGACACACCACCCAAGUUCACACAUGUGAACUUCUCGUAACUGAACUUGAUGUUGCUGAUCCCUGGGUCCAGUAGCUCAUCCAGUUUCCAGUCCAACUCAUUGUCUAUUUAUCUACCCAAUACUUUGUCAGCUUGUCUAUGAGAAUAUUAUAGGAGACACUGUGGAAAGCCUUUCUGAAGGCAAGGUAAACUGUUGUUUUUUGGGUUUUUUUCAGAAAAACAGCUUUUUUCUGAAAGCGAGGUAAACACUGCUCUCCCCUCCCCCACUUAGUUAGUCACCUCGUUGCAGUCUGUCACAUUGGGUAAUCGUGAAUUCCCCUUUAUAAAUACAUGCUGAAUACUCUAUGAAAAUGGUUUACAAGAUUAGUUGCUUUGUAACCUUCCCAGGGAGCAAAAUGAAGCCGACCUGUUCCCUGGAUCAUCCUCCUUCCCCUUCUCAAAGAUGGAACUAACACCUGCUUUCUUCCACUCCUCAGGAAUCUCUCCCAGGCCCUGUGAUGUUUGAAAGACAAUCAAAAGUGGCCUCACAGUGACAUCAGCCAGCACCCUCAGCACCCAUGCAUGCCUCCUGUCAGGUCCCAGGGCUGCACAUUUGCUUAAGUGUGCCCUAACAUGAUUCUCCUCCACCAAGGCAGAAAUUUAGAUUAAAAAAAGACAAUUGCAUUUUAUUUUCUAAAUGUCUGAGGAAAUGAAAUAAUGACAGUGGAUUGUUAUUCCCAAUGAGCAGAGCUGCACCGGAUGAGCAGUAUGUCUGGAGCCAGCAACAAAACAGCUAUGAGAUACAUAUCUCCUUUUCCAUACAAUGUAAAUAAAACUCUCAAGCUGUCUUGACUAUCAACAGCUGGCCAGAUGAUGGGAGCUGUGGAAAGUUGUUGUGAUGGGAGUGUGGAGCUGGCUUUCCAAGGAUCAUUUGAAGGAUUUUGCCCCACACAUGUGUAAAGCUGUGUAACAACUCUUCACAUUGGAAGUUUACUUGACCUUCUGUCAAUAAAACACUGACCCAGCCUCCAGGGCUAUUCUUUGGUGGCCCUUUCUCAUAUGUCUUUGCAUUUAAUUGCUUGGUGCUUUUCAGUUUUAGAGUAGCAGGGUGUGCCUGUGCGUGUCAGAAGAAACAUAAGACUCUUUAAGAGCCUAACUAAAAUUUCUUGUUUCCACUUUUCUGAGAGUUGUAAGGAAUAAGAAGAGCAAAACACUUCUUCAGCUGACCAUACCUGGUGGAUGCCAGUGGGGUACACAUUACUGACAGGUACAUUUGUCAUAAGGUAUAUUUGAGUGGGCAGACAAGGUCUUCCUGGGGUACCCAAUGGAAAAAGAGUCCACUGCACUUCCUAUCCAAAAUCAGGGAUACUCAGAAUAUACCACAGAGCUUCACCCCAAUGUGAUUGCAAAACAUGUUCUUGAACUACAUUUAACUAUUUAAAAACUCUGUGCAGGCACAACUCCAUGCAGCUGGCCAGGAUGUGUUCUGCCCACAACCCAAGGUUAAAUAAUAUUUUCAGUAAAACCAUAAAGUUGUAUUUUUUUGCAGAAUAUUGUGAUUUUAUUUAUGAAGUGAAUAAAAUUAUGACAUAAAACACUUGGAAACACUUGGUUUAUAUAUUUAUCUCCCUUUUAACUGCAAAGCAAUCCAUGUAAAAUGGCCUGUGGAUGUUUUUGCCUCAAAGUUCUUUACUUACAACAGGUUAAGAUAAAUGGCUUUGGUGACACAAAUACAGCAUAUUAAAACUGGUUAUUAGUCCAUGUGGCAAAGAAGAAUGGAACUGGUUUCUGUUUCCCAAACUCAAAAUUAGUGUGUAUAUUUUAUUUUGGUUUUGUUUUUAAUUAAAACUCUAGUACAGAA